AUCUAUUAACCAACCUAUAGGCUCAGCCAAAGAAGCAAACGCCAACUAAAGUCAGUCCGCCUUGGAACAAAUUAGACUUAUAAAUUACAUGCCAAUGGUUACGAUACAAUAGUUAUGACUCAAGGUUUUGGUAUGCAACCUGAAUGAUGGAACAAGAUAAAUUGUUAGUUGUGUGCAUAGUCAUACAUAUUUCAGAUGAGAGAAAAGUUCCAAGCUUCGAAUAUUGGUUUUGGUUGUUUGUCUCUUCGUUACUUUCUAAUUUGUAUUGUCUAGUAUAUUUCACAUGCUUUAUCUCAUUGACUGUAGCUCCCUAAUUAUAAGUAGUCUACUGCUAGAAGUUAACAGUUAUCUUAUGCGGCAAGAGUGCAAGACUCACUGUAGACCAUUUAUUAUUGGAAAUACGGAUUGGCUCUGUGAACAUUAAGACAGUCUAUUACCAGUAGCUGUUCUUAUACCGAUGCCUUCUUCACCAAUGUACCAAUGUACCUUAUUUUUUAGUCUUUGCAACUCAUAUAGUGAGAUGAUAUACAUUACAUGUAUUUACAUAUAAAUUUACGUGACUUGUGUGAUGUUUGAGAACUUUAAACUUUACCUCUUCACACUAAUUACGUAAGCAUUGUACUCAUUUUACUCUUUUUGCCCUUGAAUUGUCACUCUUUAAGUUAUUUGAUGUGAGCAUCAUAGGUUUGGUAUUUGAUGAUCUAGAAAUUUUGAGCUGUGAUGAGAAGUAUGAUUUGAUGUACUUAUAUCUUCUAUCCUUUGUUAUAGCUUUCAUUCUGUUGUAUUUGUGCCCCCCCCCCAAAAACUUGGACUAGGGACGAGUAUGUGUGGAUUCUAUUUGCAAAUAUAAGUAUGUAAAUGGCCCUCUUUUUUUUGUUCGUGCGAUGAUUGUAUUCUCUUGCUUGCUCAGAGGACGGAGCAACAAGUUUAUCUUUGGNGAUGCCCAUUGGUGAGGAGGCGCAGAAUGGCAGUGUUGUUAAGCCAAAAGGGUCGAAUCCUUUUGGUGAUGCUAGGCCUAGGGAGGAGGUCUUGAAGGAAAAGGGUCAGGAUUGGAAGGAGGUUGAUGAAAAGUUGGAGUCUUUAAAGUUAAAGGAAAAGGAGGCAAUAAGUGAUGGACCUGGUUUUGGGAAGAGAAGUUUUGGUAGUGGGAACGGGCAGAGUGGUGGAAAUGGUGAUAGGUCUGAGAGGAGCUGGAGGAAGCUUGUUGAUGUGGAUGUUCGUCCGCAGAGGUUGGUCAAUUGCAUCUUUUAAGUUUAUAUAAUUUUAGUGUAAUCAACUUGAGAAGAGUAACAGUUCUUGUUUGAAAACAUUUUAAGUGCAUGUGUAUAAGUAUGUUAUCGUUUUGGGAGAUAAUGGUACAGUUUUUUUUUUUUUUUUGCUGGUAGGAUAUAAUAGGUGUCCAUUUAAAUUGUUUUGCACUUAAGCUAGACAUCAUAGUUUAUCUGAAUUCAGUUUUGUGAUGCUCUUAUAUGAUUGAUGAGGUGGAACCUUUAACACUUGAAAGUCUUUAAAGUAUGUCAUGUUUGGUGUACACUUCAGAGGUAAAAUUAAUCAAAGAUUAAUGUGCCUGUAGUUAUGAUUUUUUUAAAGAAAGCCUCACAUCCAACUUUUUUUAGUUUCAGUUAAAAAUGUCGGUUUUGAGUUGCUAGUUCUAAGUUUACCAACUGACCAAUCUAUUAACCAACCUAUAGGCUCAGCCAAAGAAGCAAACGCCAACUAAAGUCAGUCCGCCUUGGAACAAAUUAGACUUAUAAAUUACAUGCCAAUGGUUACGAUACAAUAGUUAUGACUCAAGGUUUUGGUAUGCAACCUGAAUGAUGGAACAAGAUAAAUUGUUAGUUGUGUGCAUAGUCAUACAUAUUUCAGAUGAGAGAAAAGUUCCAAGCUUCGAAUAUUGGUUUUGGUUGUUUGUCUCUUCGUUACUUUCUAAUUUGUAUUGUCUAGUAUAUUUCACAUGCUUUAUCUCAUUGACUGUAGCUCCCUAAUUAUAAGUAGUCUACUGCUAGAAGUUAACAGUUAUCUUAUGCGGCAAGAGUGCAAGACUCACUGUAGACCAUUUAUUAUUGGAAAUACGGAUUGGCUCUGUGAACAUUAAGACAGUCUAUUACCAGUAGCUGUUCUUAUACCGAUGCCUUCUUCACCAAUGUACCAAUGUACCUUAUUUUUUAGUCUUUGCAACUCAUAUAGUGAGAUGAUAUACAUUACAUGUAUUUACAUAUAAAUUUACGUGACUUGUGUGAUGUUUGAGAACUUUAAACUUUAC
rnacentral:lncRNA from 1 species